CACAAGUCACAUGUUCAACAGCUAAUUGCUUCGGCUAAUGUUCCUGAAUUUCAUGCUAACAAGGAACUACGUCGAGGUCAUGUGAGGCCAUCACACACCUGCGUGCUUUCUACAGGUCCAGGGUUUUGUUGUGACAGAGCGGAUCAUCAUCACAUUUUCUCUGUCGGUCGAGCAUGCAUUGCUGUGUCAUCACCAUGGAUCAGGUUGCUCACAGUCUUUCCAGAUUUUCUGCUCCCAAGAGAGAAAGCUGUCAUUGCUUUAUGACCAAUAUAGUUUAUGACCAGGUUACUGAACUGCAUGAUGAAGCUGGUGAUACGAUUCAGGUCUGAGAGCAGGGCCUUUAUUGGUAGUUGAUUUUCUUUUUCCUGAUGACAGCCGACAGGGGGAGCCCGAGCGUGAGACAAGAGAAAAAUCUCAUUUUAAUUUUUCAGCACUUCCUGGACGUAUUACAGAACCAGUUUCUCCAAAUCAAAGAUUGGACAUUCGAUUGGACCGAGGGAUAUGAUGUCACCACGUGGAAGUACUUUGAUGGGCAUGAGGGUACCGGGGCAGCCAAGCAGGACAAUGAGGCAUUAUAGACACCACGCCAUUGAUUUCUAUCAGCACAGGGACACCCGGGAUAGUGCAUCGCUCUCUGAUGAAAGCACCCUGCACCCUUAGCACCACCUGAUUAGAACACUUCCACCACAGAACAGUAUAAACAUCCAGGAAUGGACCUGACUGCUAAAUGUUCAUUUUCCAUGGUUAUGCUGGUAAUAAAUAUAUCAAAUAUGUUAAUGCA